AUGUGUGUGUGUGUGUGUGUGUAUGGGGAUUAUUUAUAUAUUAUGCUUACCUGAUGCAUAUUCUUUUCUACCAGAGUUACUGUCUUCUUCUUUUUGAAAUAUUAAAAUUUUACAAAUAUUACAUAGAUUGAGUGCUUGUUAAUGAUGUGUUAUUUUUCUUAUCUUCUUUACAACUUACAAGACAUCAUUGGUAAAUCUUCCAUCAGAAGGCCUUUUUUCCAGCUGCCUUCCGGUUCUGUUGCUUAUAUUUGGAACAGCAUGUUAGGACUUCCAUUCUGUUGCUGAAGAAUUGCACAGGGAUUGUAUCUCUUUUCCCUUUCCAUGAAGGACAACACUCUUUAAAUUGAUGACCAACGUGCUCAUUGCUCCUCACCGUUCAUCAAUUAAUAAUUUAAAAUUCCUAAUUCUGUGAUCGUUUAAACCUCACACAGAAGUAUAGAUGGUUUAGUGGCUCAACUGUAGCAAUAGAGUCAGGUCCAGUCACAUCUUUCUACAUGGAAGGAUUAUAUUUGCCAUAUUAAUUUUUUAACUUACAGGUGUUUGUUUUAUUUUUCUAUUUUAGUUAUGGCAGAGCCAAACAAAGGUA
rnacentral:misc_RNA from 1 species